GCAGCAGCAAAACAGAUGGUGAAAGUCUAUUGUUUGCAUUGUUAAUCCUUUGUUUAUGGUGUCCGUUCCACUUUUCAAAAAAUCUCUUCUGAUGAAAGCCUUCGCCAUGACAUCAUUUGUCUGUGUUGAGAGACAAAGGUGGGAACAAUCCUUUCUUCGGGGUGCCUGGAAAAACUCAUUUUCUUCAGGAAAGUUGGGAGUCGGAGUUUGGGUCUGUAGUGUUUUGGCACUGGACUAAAACCAGAGACAAGAGUAAGUUAGUUGGCUAUUGACAAAAAGAGCUUCCUGCAAGCUGAGCCCUCGGUCCACACAAGUCACCUGGCGACAGAGGGGACAGCGAAUGGUGCGCAGGCCGCUGUAAUGCAGCCCCAUUGUCUCCAGACAGGGGGUGCAGAAUGUGUGGUUGCAGUGGAGAGUUCUGGGAACGCGGUCGAUGCGGGAGUAAUGCAGGGUUCAAUCCAGUGAAGCGCCUAAAAAGCAAUAUAGAAAUAUGAGAUAUUAGGCUUGAUUACCCCGACACCUGAGAAGGACUGACACCAACCCUGUGAGGACUUAAAAUUAUGCCAACUCUAAAUAAACAUACAAAACUGCCAAGUUUUCCUUAUAUUAUUAUUAUCACAACAUGUAAAUAUUGUUUUAACGUGUUUCAGAUUAACUGAACACAUGAUGUUAACUAACUGUAUGAUUUGUAUCAUCUUAGAACUGUACAUUUCUGUCAUAUAAAUAUCACUUUGACAAUAUGCAUUGUUAAAGCACUAU